rnacentral:rRNA from 1 species
AACGAACGCUGGCGGCAUGCCUAACACAUGCAAGUCGAACGAGACCUUCGGGUCUAGUGGCGCACGGGUGCGUAACGCGUGGGAACCUGCCCUUAGGUUCGGAAUAACUCCCCGAAAGGGGUGCUAAUACCGGCUAAUGUCUUCGGACCAAAGAUUUAUCGCCUUUGGAUGGGCCCGCGUUGGAUUAGCUAGUUGGUAGGGUAAAAGCCUACCAAGGCGACGAUCCAUAGCUGGUCUGAGAGGAUGAUCAGCCACACUGGGACUGAGACACGGCCCAGACUCCUACGGGAGGCAGCAGUGGGGAAUAUUGGACAAUGGGCGAAAGCCUGAUCCAGCAAUGCCGCGUGAGUGAUGAAGGCCUUAGGGUUGUAAAGCUCUUUUACCCGGGAUGAUAAUGACAGUACCGGGAGAAUAAGCGCCGGCUAACUCCGUG